GUCUACGGCCAUACCACCCUGAACGCGCCUGAUCUCGUCUGAUCUCGGAAGCUAAGCAGGGUCGGGCCUGGUUAUACUUGGAUGGGAGACCGAACAGCAUGUCGAAAUUGAAC
rnacentral:rRNA from 1 species